CAGGUGUAUAGUUUAAUAAGAAUACAAGUUUUGGGGAUUUGUGGUCUCUAAGGAGAGUGCUCUGA
rnacentral:tRNA from 1 species